rnacentral:rRNA from 1 species
GACGAACGCUGGCGGCGUGCCUAAUACAUGCCAGUAGAACGCUGAAGGAGGAGCUUGCUUCUCUGGAUGAGUUGCGAACGGGUGAGUAACGCGUAGGUAACCUGCCUGGUAGCGGGGGAUAACUAUUGGAAACGAUAGCUAAUACCGCAUAAUAGCAGUUAUUGCAUGAUAACUGUUUGAAAGGUGCAAUUGCACCACUACCAGAUGGACCUGCGUUGUAUUAGCUAGUUGGUGGGGUAACGGCUCACCAAGGCGACGAUACAUAGCCGACCUGAGAGGGUGAUCGGCCACACUGGGACUGAGACACGGCCCAGACUCCUACGGGAGGCAGCAGUAGGGAAUCUUCGGCAAUGGACGGAAGUCUGACCGAGCAACGCCGCGUGAGUGAAGAAGGUUUUCGGAUCGUAAAGCUCUGUUGUAAGAGAAGAACGAGUGUGAGAGUGGAAAGUUCACACUGUGACGGUAUCUUACCAGAAAGGGACGGCUAACUACGU